AAAUAGCGCAAUUUGACAUAUCGUAAACAACCUGUACAAGUCAUCACGUUCGGGACGAAAACCGCAUAAUGUAAAAUUACUCACGUAGGAAGUACGCGUGUGGCUUUGACUUUAUAUUUUUGUUUAUUGUGGCGUUUUAUUUUAUCAGUUCAAGUAAUCUUGUGUCAAGAUGAUUAAACGGGCGUGUCUACUCGUCCUUGUUGGUGUGUUCUUCGCCAGAAGUAAUGGGCAAUGGCCUCUUGGACAAAGCUUUUUUACUGGUAUGAACCAAAUGAUGAAUAACAUGAAUAACAUGGCGGUAAACAUGCAAGUUGCUGGCGAACAACGUCAAGUUUUAAUUGAAGAAGACAUGAGAAGGUCUUGGGAAGGCGUUCCAUUUGGAUCAGGAGGAAGUGUGUUCAUAACUUUUGAUGGUGGAUUAGGAUACGCUUAUAACUCGACGGAUGGUUCAUAUACGCUGUAUUCUUUAAGAUCUGGAAGUCCACCAAGUGGUUAUAUGUACCAUAUAAAUGCACAGGGUGGUACUACCUUUAAUAGUUGGUGAAAUUAUUCUAAAACACAUCGCACCAGAACGGACUGUCUGUAUUCAGCUUUGAAGAGGUGUUGACUUUUUUAUGUUUAGUGUUUGCUCCCGAAAUGUUAUUUAUUAUCAUUGCAAAACAAAUGAGUGUUAAGUGUACCAAAUGUUUUGAAUUUUAUAAGAUUUAUAACAUUGUCACGGAUAUGCAAUCCCGUAAAUAUUUUAAGACACUUUUAUUGGUUGCAAGACGCGACACAUUAAAUAAGAAGGUAAAAUAUUAAAAAGUGUACAAUACUGACCAAGAAAAAGAUGAUAUAUUUGUCAACAUUUUAUCAUUUUGUGACAUAUUUGAUAAAGUAAGUUACAAAGUUUUUAUGUUAUUGACCUCCUUUUAUAAUGAGAAAUUCAUAAACACAAUAAACAGUUUAUGUGAACAUGUUUUUACAGGGAAUAUAAUGAUUGACAAGAAACAAAUUGUUACAAUUUCUUUUAUUACAUAAAAUUGAUCAUUAUGCGUCUUUUCAUUCUCUUUUCUGUUAUUAAUUAAUUUCAUUUUUGUCGAGCCCGCUUGUGGUGAGCUCGACUAAGUCGUCACUUUUAGCGGUUCGGUGUAUGUUCGUGCAUGCGUGCGUCCGAAUUUGUCCGGACCAUAACUUUGACCUGCAUGGAGCAAUCUUGUUUAUAUUUGGCAUGAAUGUUCAUCAUUAUGAGACGGAGUGGCAUGCGCAAGAACCAAGUUCCUAGUUAAUGUCAAGGUCACACUUAGACGUCAAAGUUCAGAUACAAGAAUGACUUUGUCCAGAGCAUUUCUUCUUCAUGCAUAGAGGGAUUUUGAUGUAACUUUAAGUUAGCACAAUUGUCCACCAUCAUGAGACGGAGUGUCAUACGCAAGGACCUGGAAUUAAUUCCCUUUGUUGUUACUAUAAAUAGCUUAUAUUAUGACUUUUUUAUUACUGGUCGUAUGUAAAAAUCAAGACCACUUUUCUGUAGUACAACAUGCAUAUUACAUCCAAUUUUGAGGUGUAUUAUGACCUUUUUAUACUGGUAAGGAUUUUUGUGUGGACUUAGAUAUGUUUUGCACUCCCAGUCCUUUUGACAGCUGGCGGGCUCGACAUGUUGCCCGUGGGCAUCUUGUUUUGUUUUUUAAUAACACACUAUUUCGAUAUAAAGUCAAUGGAAUAAUACGUUGCCGUUACGCGAAUGUUAUUUUAACUUUUUUCUACGAAGGAAGAAUACAAUAAAUAAAACAAACCCGUAAAGUACUCCCAUGACAUUUUAGUGGGUAUUUUACAAAAGUUGUAGGUAACGAAUAUAAUUUCGUCACAGAUUGAAAACAAGAAAAUAUCGGUAAAACCGAUGGAUACUCCCCGAAAUAUGGUAUAUUGCAUAUUAAAACAGAAAAGCUGAAUUCAUCGACUUGAAACACACUGCGUCUUAGAAGUGAAGCUUCCAAAAGAAUUUCUUAGAACACAACCAGGUAGUCGAAAAGCAUGCGCAAGAUAUGUGCGUAUUUUCUUUUGAUUGAAACUCUCUGUGAAAUAUUGAUGAAUUUCAGCCAAGGAUUGCUUGGGAAUUAGGGAUGUCAACGGAUAUCCGGAUAUCCGGAUAUUCGGUCACGGGUACGAAUAUUCGGAUCUUAUUUAAGUAUUCGAAUAUUCGGUGGUAACAUACACAUUACUGAAAUAUUUAUUUUUAUGUUCAUAGCAUUGUAAUUUUUCGUCACGUAAAUAGCGUGUCAAAACGUAAUACACAGUCGUCAUGGUAAUGACGCAUACCCGACAGGUGUGCGAAACAUAAUUGUAAUCUUAAGUAGUCCUGUUUGGUCAAACAAUGCAAUUAUUGUCAAUUAAUAAUUAUGCGUAAUUUAAAAAGAAUGUGUUUACAAAUCGUCGGCAAAUAUUGCAGCUUUAAAGAAAAGACGUGGAGAGUGCGAAGGUAAUAAUUAGUGCACGUGCAUAUGAAAUUAGUACCUGCUUCUCUAAAACUUGAACUGAAAGUUACCCUAAAGUGCCAUAAACAUAUAUGCUUUAUGUCUUUAUUAUUGCUAAAAUCUUCAAGGAGGCUUGCAUCCUUUUUAUAUUCAGAACGUAUACAAUGUUUGGAAAGGUCAUUUAAAAAUGUAAACAGAUAAUAUAAAACAAAACUUUUCAUUAAGCUUACAACUGCAAACAAUAUAAGCUUUCUGUUACUUGUUUAGAAAUUUGUAAAUAUUGUGCAUUAAAAUAUUUGUAUUUUUUGUGCAUGUAUUGUUUUGUAUUUCUUGCAAUUUCGUGUAUAAAAUAUUUAACAUAAAAGCAUCAGAUACUACCACAGAAGCAUGUAUAUACGAUUAUCUAUCUCUGAAUGUUCAUUAUCGAUGUCUUGGAAUGCACAUUUUUGCAUGAACGUAAUGGUUUCCGCACUAAAAGGACUAUUAUACGAUUGCCGCUGACCUGACAUGACAUGAAGAAAAUUUUGGUCUAAAACGAAUAGCCUCAUUGACAAUUAGGAAAAUCAUACAGAUUUGCAGAAUAUAUACUAUCUGGUAUACAGAUAGCUGACAACAUAUAACGUUACUUGAAUAUUUGACAUAAACAUUGGCUAACACCUCGGGGUAAUGUUUAUUCAUAGGCAGACUGCAUGCCCUCAUAUACCACCUUAAGUAGCAAGUAUAAUAUCUAGUAUGAAUGGUUCCCUGGUGUUGUUUUUUCGGUUUUUUUUUGCAAAAGAAAUUCUCGCUCGCCAAAUGUGAAAUGCAGAAAAAAAGCAACGAUCAACGACAUUAAAUAGUUUUAUCGAUACUUUGUUUUAUACGGUGAAUAAACUUGUGACAUCAUAGCAUCAAAGUACUGAAUGGAAAACGUAAGAACUAUUUUAUGAGAGAACGAUUCACAACGUAUGGAUCAACAUGAAAUCCGGAAGUUGUAACAGUUUUUUAUAUUAUUAACUAUAUUUUCUUCUCAAUGUGAUAGGUUUUCAACUACAUGUAUAUAAUGUUUGUCUACAGAACGUUAUAACAUCAGCCUUUCGGCUAGCACCUUCAUCAGGAUAAGUCACAUACUAAAAUCAUUUUCCUUUCUCAAAGCAUACUAGCAUACUAAUCAGAGUAGAGACAGAUUUUUCUUAGAAAGUAAAAGUGAAAAAUUAGAAAAAAAACUAUUUUAAAGAAAAUUUUUUUUGGUAACUAGACAAGAUAUUCAUCAGGUUAUUCAGUCAGCUACAUUCAUCUAUGAAUUUACUUGAAUUAUUUUUAUCCGGAUUGACCUAUAUGCACUCCGAAACCAAGAAAAAGAUGAUAUAUUUGUCAACAUUUUAUCAUUUUGUGACAUAUUUGAUAAAGUAAGUUACAAAGUUUUUAUGUUAUUGACCUCCUUUUAUAAUGAGAAAUUCAUAAACACAAUAAACAGUUUAUGUGAACAUGUUUUUUACAGGGAAUAUAAUGAUUGACAAGAAACAAAUUGUUACAAUUUCUUUUAUUACAUAAAAUUGAUCAUUAUGCGUCUUUUCAUUCUCUUUUCUGUUAUUAAUUAAUUUCAUUUUUGUCGAGCCCGCUUGUGGUGAGCUCGACUAAGUCGCCACUUUUAGCGGUUCGGUGUAUGUUCGUGCGCGCGUGCGUCCGAAUUUGUCCGGACCAUAACUUUGACCUGCAUGGAGCAAUCUUGUUUAUAUUUGGCAUGAAUGUUUAUCAUUAUGAGACGGAGUGGCAUGCGCAAGAACCAAGUUCCUAGUUAAUGUCAAGGUCACACUUAGACGUCAAAGUUCAGAUACAAGAAUGACUUUGUCCAGAGCAUUUCUUCUUCAUGCAUAGAGGGAUUUUGAUGUAACUUUAAGUUAGCACAAUUGUCCACCAUCAUGAGACGGAGUGUCAUACGCAAGGACCUGGAAUUAAUUCCCUUUGUUGUUACUAUAAAUAGCUUAUAUUAUGACUUUUUUAUUACUGGUCGUAUGUAAAAAUCAAGACCACUUUUCUGUAGUACAACAUGCAUAUUACAUCCAAUUUUGAGGUGUAUUAUGACCUUUUUAUACUGGUAAGGAUUUUUGUGUGGACUUAGAUUUGUUUUGCACUCCCAGUCCUUUUGACAGCUCGCGGGCUCGACAUGUUGCCCGUGGGCAUCUUGUUUUGUUUUUUAAUAACACACUAUUUCGAUAUAAAGUCAAUGGAAUAAUACGUUGCCGUUACGCGAAUGUUAUUUUAACUUUUUUCUACGAAGGAAGAAUACAAUAAAUAAAACAAACCCGUAAAGUACUCCCAUGAUAUUUUAGUGGGUAUUUUACAAAAGUUGUAGGUAACGAAUAUAAUUUCGUCACAGAUUGAAAACAAGAAAAUAUCGGUAAAACCGAUGGAUACUCCCCGAAAUAUGGUAUAUUGCAUAUUAAAACAGAAAAGCUGAAUUCAUCGACUUGAAACACACUGCGUCUUAGAAGUGAAGCUUCCAAAAGAAUUUCUUAGAACACAACCAGGUAGUCGAAAAGCAUGCGCAAGAUAUGUGCGUAUUUUCUUUUGAUUGAAACUCUCUGUGAAAUAUUGAUGAAUUUCAGCCAAGGAUUGCUUGGGAAAUAAAUGGGGAUACUUGAAUUCAAGUGGCACUAUAGUUUACUAAAUGUUGAAUAAUCAGAGGGCAAUAACUCCUUGAAAAAUAUCAUCCGACCGAAACAUGAAGCUAAUUUGUGCAUUUCCACUUGAGAGGGAAGCAUUCUUUAAAUUUUCGAAUUUGACAAGCCAGUGGCUGCUGAAGAAUACUUCAGAUAAGAAAUACUUUAGUAUACUAAUGUUGAAUAAUCAAAAGAUCUUGUAUUUUCUUAAUUACUCUCAGAUUACGGAAACGUGUAAUUUCAUUGCCUUUAUAAUGGAAACUGAAUUAUUGAAAAAAUCUAAAAUGGUGUGAAAACCGGAGAGAUGAAAAAUGAUUGAUAUAAUACAAAGAAAUUUAUACAAUAUAUUAUCCUUUUGAAUUGUUAAUUCUUAUUCUUUAAGUUGUCAAUAUUAGAAUUUCAUUAACUGUUUGAACAAAACUGCACUUUGUCUGUUAAAACUCUUGAUUCUUCAAGGCAGCGAACUCGUUAUGACAAUCAUCAAUUUAUGUGCGAUUACGUAUUCUCGUGUGCUUUUUCGGAAUCCUUCGGACACAAACAACCAGAGAGCGCCGGGAUCGCAUACAGAAAAUACGUAAUAAAACGGAAACUGUCGAUUGUCACUACGUGUCCACUACCUUCAGCUUUAACAUAAUGUUAAAACGAGAAUGUACAUGUACUUGAAUUAAUAAAUUCUACAUUGCUAGA